rnacentral:rRNA from 1 species
UACGUAGGGGGCCAGCGUUGCUCGGAAUUACUGGGCGUAAAGGGUCCGUAGGCGGUGUAGCAAGUCGAUAGUGAAAUCUCUGGGCUUAACCCAGAGGCUGCUAACGAAACUGCUGUGCUAGAGUGUGAGAGAGGCGAGUGGAAUUACGGGUGUAGCGGUGAAAUGCGUAGAUAUCCGUAGGAACAUCCGAGGCGAAGGCGGCUCGCUGGAUCACAACUGACGCUGAGGGACGAAAGCUAGGGGAGCAAGCAGG